AGUGAACGCUGGCGGUAGGCCUAACACAUGCAAGUCGAACGGCAGCACAGUAAAAGCUUGCUCUUACGGGAGGCGAGUGGCGGACGGGUGAGGAAUACAUCGGAAUCUACUUUUUCGUGGGGGAUAACGUAGGGAAACUUACGCUAAUACCGCAUACGACCUACGGGUGAAAGCAGGGGAUCUUCGGACCUUGCGCGAUUGAAUGAGCCGAUGUCGGAUUAGCUAGUUGGCGGGGUAAAGGCCCACCAAGGCGACGAUCCGUAGCUGGUCUGAGAGGAUGAUCAGCCCCACUGGAACUGAGACACGGUCCAGACUCCUACGGGAGGCCGCAGUCGGGAAUAUUGGACAAUGGGCGAAAGCCUGCUCCAGCCAUACCGCGUGGGUGAAGAAGGCCUUCGGGUUGUAAAGCCCUUUUGUUGGGAAAGAAAAGCAGCAGGUUAAUACCCCGCUGUUCUGACGGUACCCAAAGAAUAAGCACCGGCUAACUUCGUG
rnacentral:rRNA from 1 species